rnacentral:rRNA from 1 species
GACAGAGGGUGCAAACGUUGCUCGGAAUUACUGGGCGUAAAGCGCGUGUAGGCGGCUUUGCAAGUCGGGUGUGAAAGCCCUCAGCUCAACUGAGGAAGUGCGCCCGAAACUGCAGAGCUUGAGUGCCGGAGAGGGUGGCGGAAUUCCCCAAGUGGAGGUGAAAUUCGUAGAUAUGGGGAGGAACACCGGUGGCGAAGGCGGCCACCUGGACGGUAACUGACGCUGAGACGCGAAAGCGUGGGGAGCAAACAGG